CUGAGCCCGAUCGAGAAAUCCGGGGAUCGCCGGUCUGAUGUCUUCGGGCGUCUCUCUGAGUGAGAACCGGCUUAAUCGCAUCAGUUUGAACCGGGCAAAAGUCGUAACAAGGUUGCUGUAGGUGAACCUGCUGCAGGAUCAUUA
rnacentral:rRNA from 1 species